GUGAAACCGCCAACCUUAGGAGUUAGUCUGUUGUUUGUGGUCCUCUCACUGAAAUGCCAUUUCCACACACAGAGGGCUCCUGUCUGCCUGGUCCGCCAUGGGCCCCUGGUGUCUAGCAUGCGGCCCAGCCAUCAGAGGGAACUUGCUGUCCAUCCUGGGUGUACCCGUAUUCCAGCCUAUAUGGUUACCUUCAGACUGCAUCUCCAGCAGACACAGAUGUGAGCCAGAGCUGAACCUCAGCUCCCUGAACUGUGAAAUGAGAGGGCCAUCUCCCUGGUGUCUGUGGAUUCCUCCGUCUCUCUCCUCUAUGCCUGUCUAGAGGGCUUCUGACCUGUGCUGUGGGAGUUCCCCAUCCCUCUCCUCAGAUCCUGCUGUUCCAUGGGACCCAGUUGGCUGUGGCCAGGAGAACAUGGCAGAGCCUCGUUGCAGGGGCCGUGCACUUCAGGAGCAGCUCUUAAUUCAGGACCUUUGGUUCAAGUAGGAGGGCUGCCUUCUGAGCUGUGGCUCUCUUCUGUGAGCCAAUGUCCCCAAGACUCCUUUGUAAGGACUUCUGGCAGGUGUACGAACCAUGAGCUCCCAAGGCAGCGGAAAAAAAAACAAACAGGACAUAGAAAACCCGAGUAGGAGGCAGGCACCCUCCACACGACAGGUGGAGCCUGCCCCGGAGUUCACACAUAUAGACCACAGACAGGGACAAGAUAGACCAGGAGAAAACCAGGCCACACAGAAAGUCAGUCCCAGCCCUGCCAAUAGCUCCUUACCCACCAGGAUACAGUGCCUGACUCCUUCUAGAACCCUCUAGGGCAUAGCUGGAGGGACAGAGUGCUAUAACUCCCUGAAAAGACUAGAUUCCGCCUGAACAGAGUUCAAAUCCAACAAGUCAGGCCCAGAGCCAGGCAUGGAGCUCGGGAAGUCCCUGGGCCCCUGGCAACACCCCCAGCCCACCCCAGACUGCCAGCCAAGCUCCUGGAGACUGUCAGCAAGCUCUCGCCUCUGAUGAAUGAGAGGAAACCCUC